AACCAAGCCUAGCUUCUGACCAGGAGGAGAGGCAUGCCCAGCUGUGCCUGGAGGACUGGUGAGGUGACCUUCAGUCAAAAACCACUAGGCAUUGGCAUGCUGUGAAAGUCACUGCAUCAAGCUGUCCCCAUCUUGCAAUACCAUCCGAAGUUGGUCCCGGUCCCUCCUGCUGACUCCUGUUGAUUUGGCUGAGGCCAGGCUGUCUCUGCUAGGUCAUGCCGCUACUGCUGCUAUCCUGAUACUACUGAACUGGACUGCUGGUGUAUCCCUGAAGUGUUUGUGAGUGGAUCAAGCUGCCGCUACUAACCCGUGAACAAAACCCUGCACAAAACUGCCAAUUUCCAGACAAAAUAGAUGGGCGCUUGCUCCAAAGAGCCAUUUCUGAACAGGUUCCUUCGUCCUCUCCUGGGCAUGACUUGGAAAGCCGAGGGCCGGAUGAGGGCAUCCUCUUAUCAAGUGGAUCCGGCCAGCCUGUCCAUACACCAUGGGUACCUGCAGCAUGUGCACACAGCAGGUACUGUGACGUAAAGGUAAGUCAGAUUCCUCCCACAGUGACUCACAGGCUAGAGGGAAAGGUAAGGCAGCGGCAAGAAAAGGAAAGUAGCCGUUGAUCGUGGUGGUGCAUGCUCGCAAUCCCGUCACACGGGAGGUAGAACAUCUGCCUGCCAAGGACUAUAUCGAUAGAAGAUAGGAAAAUGGAAGCCAGGGCCUUGUAAAUGCUAGGCAAGCCCCCUACCACUGAACUGUAUCCCUAGAAUGCUAACUAGAAUUUUGAACUCUGCAGGAUCCACUCAGAAAAAGAACCGAGGAAAACAUGUUUCUGUAUUCUUUUAGUCAUUUUUUUCUUUUUCUUUUUCUUUUCUUUUUUUUUUUUUUUUUUUUUUUUUUUUGGAGCUGGGGACCCAACCCAGGGCCUUGCGCUUGCUAGGCAAGCGCUCUACCACUGAGCUAAAUCCCCAACCCCUUUCAGUCAUUUUUUAAGAACUAUAAAUAUCUUAAUAUAAAUUACAAAGGUCACUGCAAUGCCAUUCAUGCACUAUUAGAUGUUUAUGCACAGAUGACUGUUGGAUAAUCAGCAUGUCAGUAAUUUCACGUCUUGUCUCCUUUUUAAAAUUUGUAUAUGUAUAGGCGUUUUGACUGAAUGCAUGUCUGCACACUAUGUGUAUGCAAAACAUAGAGAAGGCAGAAAGGGGGCAUCAGAUUCUCUGGAACUGGAUUACAGAUAUUUUUGAGCAUUGGUGCUGGGCACCAAAUCCAGAUCCCAUGCAAGAGCAGCCAGUGCCCAUGCUCUAAACUGCCAAGCCACCUCUCCAUCUUGUUUUCAGUGGUAAAAAUGACAUUGUGUGCUCUUGACUAUUUUUAUGAAUGUGGAUUUGUGUGUGUGUGCCCACAGAGGAGUCGCAUCCUCUGGGGCAGGGGUUACAUACAGGCAAUUGUGAACCGUCUGGUGUGUGCUUGGAACUGAACUUGGGUCAUCUGAUAGAAUAGCAAGCACUCUUUGUGGCUUAGCAAUCUCUCCAGCUCCAACUGAUUGACCUUAUACUGGGUUUUUUGUUUUUUGUUUUUUUUGUUUCUCGGAGCUGGGGACCGAACCCAGGGCCUUGCACUUGCUAGGCAAGCACUCUACCACUGAGCUAAAUCCCCAACCCCUAUACUGGGUUUUUGUUGUUGUUGUUGUGGUUUUGUUUUGUUUGGUCUUUUGUUUGUUUACUCCAAAUUUUAUUCCAGAUAACUUUCAUGAGUUGUUCUCCUUAUUACAGAGGUUUAAAAAAAUACUUUUACCAAAAGUGUGUCUUUUGAUAUGUACAUGAGUGCUUCCUGUAUGUCUGUGUGCCCCCUACUUCUACAGGUCAGAAGAGGAUGUUAGAUCCCCUAGAACUGGAGUAAGAGGUUUGUGAGCUGCCAUGUAGGUGCUGGAAUUGAACCUGGGUUGUCUACAAGAGCAGCCAGUGCUGUUAACCACUGGGCAACCCCUCUAGCCCCUAUGUUAGGUUUUGGUAAUUUACCGACAUCAUGGUUAUCAGACAUCAGUAAUGAAAGGCCCUGCUAUUUUUUGGAUUAACCUUAAUCAUAGUAAUUGUUUAUGUUUGAUGUCGUUAGUGAUGACCACUCGUCCACAUUACCUUCAAAUAAUGACACUUGAACCUCUAAGCUCAUACCUGUUCACGUACUCUGUCUGCCAGUCAGGCUGAGACUUACAAAAUGUUAUUGUAUGAAUGAGUGGGUAAUGUCACUGAGCUCGGCUGUGCAUGGGGAAGGCAGCUUUUGGGAGUCAGUUUUCUUCUUCCAUUUUGUUUUAAGGGUCUUCAGGCAGUAGUCAUGCAUCAGGAGGAGGGGCAGUCAGUAUUGGCGCUUGAAGAAAACAACUUAGCCAUCAGCAAAGCCACUAUGAGUAGACCUCUGAUAGAAAAACCCUGAGGGUCUUGUUUCCUGAAGACCCCUUGCUAUUGCUAGCCUUACUAGACUUGUUGCUGCCUUGGUCACUCUGGUUUUUUUUCUUUUGCCUUGUAUAAAUAUCCUUGGGUGGGAGGGUUCUAAUUCUCCACUGGGUAAUGCAAUCACAAUGUAUAACAAUAGUGAUUUCCCCCAAAGCAUUGCCAGUCAGAUAGAUUAAUGAUUUAACAUAAGAUUUCUGAGAAAAAAAUUUUUAAAUAUGUACUGUUAAAAAGAUUAGGUCAAGGUGCUCUUUAUGUACAAUGAAUUAAAUCAGGUCAGGGUGUUCUGUCAGCUGCUUUGUAGCAGUACACCCAGGGCACAUCGUAAAACCUUCUCAGUUACUGAAUGAAAGGCAUGCUAAGGUCAGGAAGUAAAACUAAGGCAAGCCCAGUUGCUAAGGGCUCGUGAGUUUCAGUGCCCGUUGUUUAGAUUGAGUUCUGUGUCCAUUUGUAAAAUCUGCUUUUCCUGGUUUUAUAAAUUUGCUGAUAACCUUUGGUGUGCAUCUUGAGGACUUACUGCAUGUAGACUGGGUAGAGUCUUCUUUUUUGUUGUCUCAAAAAAAGUAAAAGAUCUCUGACCUAAAGUUCUCUUGUUAACCAUACAUUUACUUUGCUAUAAGAACAAUAUAAGAACAGGUAGAUGGUUAAUCGUGUCAGAUGAAUAAGAACUGUGUUAAGUUAGAAUAACAUGAUGUCUACUCCUUGCUUGUAACUGCAAACUGCUACUUGCUGGUACAAGAUAAACUGGCUGUUAAACAUAUUUGGCUUGCUCAAAUCUGUUACUCCAUAAUAGAAAAACUAUUACUUUAGGACAUAGAUGUAUUAUGGGAAGAAAUCACAUAAGAAGCUGAAUGAUCAGAUGUGGAAUUUAGAAUAACUUGCUUUUAAAAAUAUAAAACCUGGGGGCUGGAGAGAUGGCUCAGUGGUUAAGAGCACUGGCUGCUCUUCCAGAGGUCCUGAGUUCAAUUCCCAGCAACCACAUGGUGGUUCACAGUCAUCUGUAAUGAGCUCCAACAACCUCUUCUCAUGUGUCUGAAGAUAGUGAUAGUGUACUCAUAUACAUUAAUCUUUAAAAAAAGAGAAAUGGUUAUAACGUGAUUUUUCCUGCAUGGGGAUUUAAUUAAGGCAUAUAAAGACUAAGAGAAAAAGUUGGUGGAGCCUGGUUUCACCUACUGAGUGCGUGUGUGCCUGUGUGUGCGCACGCGCGUGCAAGUGCGUGCUGUGACUGCUUUAGUCACUGCCCUCACAUCUCCUUGGAUCCCUAAACACACCGAUAGAGCAGGCUUCUGGCAGUCUCUUGUUUCUGCCAUGCUUCAUACCCCAGGUUAGCUGGUGUCAAGGUUGCAGGUGAUUCUCCUGCUUCUGCUUCUCAUCUUGCAGUAAGAGUGCUGGGAUUACAGAUGCAUGCUACCACAUCUAGCUUUUUUAAAAGAUUUAAAUUUUCUGUGUCUCUCUCUCCAUGUGUAGGUACGUGCAUAAGUGAAUACUGCAUUCCUGAGGUCCACAAGCUGUGGGACCCUCUGGACCUGUUGUUAUAAAUGGUUGUAAUCACCAAUAUGGAUGCUGUGAACUGAACUCAGGUCCUCUACAACGCAGUAAAUACUUAACCACAGAGCCAACUCUCCAGCCUUAAGUUCUUAUGUAAAAUGGGGCUUCUGGGGAUUGAACUCAGGUAAUUAUGCUUGCACGGCUAGCAUAUUUACCAGCUGAGGCUUCUUGCCAACCUGGUUGAGCCUUUUGAUCCCUCAAAAGAUAAGGUGGAAGUCUCUGCUCAACACAGAAGCCUCAGAAUUGUUUUCAAUCCUUUGCAACCCUUAAGAGAUCAACAUUUCAGAGGAGGAAACUGAGGCAGGAUAGAAAGUAACAAUUAUGGGGACAUAGGAAAGGAGCCCCUCGCCUUGGAGUCUGACUGAAACUUCUCUCUAGUUGAGAAGAAUUGCAGCACAAUUAAUGACAUUUGUUGUAAAGGUUGUCAACAUUAAGAAUAACAUUUCUUUAUAUAUAGAUAUGUUAAAAUAGCAAUGAACUAGGCUUAAGGCCUGAAUGUGUAGGACCUUGGGUAGGGAGGGACUGAACAUUUUCUAGAAAUCUCAAACAAGACAAUUAACAUUUAGAGUGAAAAUAACCUACCUAGACCACUUUUUACACAUUUUUACCUUACCACUGUAAUCUAGACUAUAAUCCCCCCAGAAAGUUUAUGAUAGCAUUUGUUUCUUAGCAACCCUUUAAAGCUAGCAACUUCAAAACCUACUGUACUGGCUAGCUUUAUGCUGACUUGACACAAGCUGGAGUCACUAGAGAGCCUCAAUUGAGAAAAAUGGCUCUGUCGACUGUAGGGAAGCCUGUGGGCAUUUUAUUAAUUAGUGAUUCGGGGGGGGGGGCCCAGCCCAUCAUGGAUGGUGCCCCUGGGCUGGAAGUCCUGGGUUCUCUAAGGGAUCAGGCCGAGCAUACCAUGGAGAGCAAGCCAGUAAGUAGCAUUCCUCCAGUGGACUUGGCAUCAGCCCCUGCCUCCAGGUUCCUGCCCUCACUGCUUUUGAUGAUGAACUGUUAUAUGGAACUGUGAGUGAAAUAAACCCUUUUCUCUUC